CUUCAGAAAGUCCUUUGGGAAACACAGAAUGGGUCGGACUCUGUUUUUCCUUGCACUUUUCUGUUAUUGCUCAGGUGUCAGUUCACAGGCAACUUUGACUCAGCCUCCUUUCCAGUCCGCGUCCCCAGGACAAACGGUUGAACUCUCCUGCACAGCCCACGGAAGUGUGCAACACACUCACUGGCUUCAGCAAAGACCUGGACGGGGCCCUCGCUUUGCGCUCACGGGUGCCAGCACUCGGGGAGAAGGGAUCCCGGACCGGUUUACUGGUUCUAAGUCUGGGAACGUUCACUCUUUAGUCAUCACUAAGCUUCAGGCUGAAGAUGAGGCUGAUUAUUACUGUGUCGCCUGGUAUGGCAGUGGUAGCCAGUUCCACAGUGGUAAACACCGAUGGGGAACUGAUACAGAAACCUUCACUCUUCCUCCCCAGUGUGGGCAAUACAGAAGAAUAAGAGAAUUGCAUUUUACCUAUGCCUGA